GAUGUUUUGCAUGGUUGAUUUAGUAGCUAUGUUCCUCCUCGAAUCUCAAUCUCCAGGCGCUUUGCCCUCUGUGGCCAGCCAUCGCAAUUUCAGGGUGGCGGUGAUUGGGGUUCUAUUGAUCGCCAUUCUGGUUGUGUGUAUUGCCUUGGUAUGGGCUUUGGUCCUAUUGAGCUGCAAGAAGAUGUAAGUAAAGUUCUCUCUAUUUUCUCUACAAUCUGAACAGAGAGACUCAUGCCAAAAAUCUACUAUUCAGGCACAAGGCGUGCGGUGAGUGCCAUGCGAGGAACCAAGUCGUAAACCCCUCG
rnacentral:lncRNA from 1 species